rnacentral:sRNA from 1 species
UGCGGUGGUGACUGAGCUACGAGCCUGGCGGCGGGUGUGCGCCGAGCCCCGGCCCGGCCCGGCCCCCGCGUGCCUCCCAGGCUCCGCACCCCUGAUGCUGCGCGGGUGCUGAGCCCGCUUCGGCCGGGACGAUGGUGAAGUAUUUCCUGGGCCAGAGCGUGCUCCGGAGUUCCUGGGACCAAGUGUUCGCCGCCUUCUGGCAGCGGUACCCGAAUCCCUAUAGUGUGGUGAGACAAGAAGAGGCGGCAGUAUGGGAGUUGGGAGGGAUCUUGGAGUUGGAAAUCCUAUUUCUCUGCCCGUGGCGCUUUCCUGGGGUGCAAUAAAUCAUGAGGUCCAUUCCUGCUAGAAGGCAGGAAUCCAGCAAACAUGUCUUGACGGAAGACAUAGUACACCGGGAGGUGACCCCUGACCAGAAACUGCUGUCCCGGCGACUCCUGACCAAGACCAACAGGAUGCCACGCUGGGCCGAGCGACUAUUUCCUGCCAAUGUUGCUCACUCGGUGUACAUCCUGGAGGACUCUAUUGUGGACCCACAGAAUCAGACCAUGACUACCUUCACCUGGAACAUCAACCACGCCCGGCUGAUG